rnacentral:rRNA from 1 species
UACGUAGGGGGCUAGCGUUGUCCGGAUUUAUUGGGCGUAAAGAGCGUGUAGGCGGCCAGGUAGGUCCGGUGUGAAAACUCGAGGCUCAACCUCGAGAUGUCAUCGGAAACCAUUUGGCUAGAGUCCGGAAGAGGAGAGUGGAAUUCCUGGUGUAGCGGUGAAAUGCGCAGAUAUCAGGAAGAACACCAAUGGCGAAGGCAGCUCUCUGGGACGGUACUGACGCUGAGACGCGAAAGCGUGGGGAGCGAACAGG